rnacentral:rRNA from 1 species
GCAUAUCAAUAAGCGGAGGAAAAAGAAACCAACAGGGAUUGCCUCAGUAACGGCGAGUGAAGCGGCAACAGCUCAAAUUUGAAAUCUGGCCCCAGGCCCGAGUUGUAAUUUGCAGAGGAUGCUUUUGGCGCGGUGCCUUCCGAGUUCCCUGGAACGGGACGCCAUAGAGGGUGAGAGCCCCGUCUGGUUGGACACCAAGCCUUUGUAAAGCUCCUUCGACGAGUCGAGUAGUUUGGGAAUGCUGCUCUAAAUGGGAGGUACAUGUCUUCUAAAGCUAAAUACCGGCCAGAGACCGAUAGCGCACAAGUAGAGUGAUCGAAAGAUGAAAAGCACUUUGGAAAGAGAGUUAAACAGCACGUGAAAUUGUUAAAAGGGAAGCGUUUAUGACCAGACGUGGGCCGGUUAAUCAUCCAGCGUUCUCGCUGGUGCACUUUGCCGGUCCAGGCCAGCAUCAGUUCGCUGCGGGGGAUAAAGGCUUUGGGAAUGUAGCUCCUCGGAGUGUUAUAGCCCUCUGCGUAAUACCCUGCGGCGGACUGAGGUUCGCGCUCUGCAAGGAUGCUGGCGUAAUGGUCAUCAACGACCCGUCUUGAAACACGGACCAAGGAGUCGUCUUCGUAUGCGAGUGUUCGGGUGUAAAACCCCUACGCGAAAUGAAAGUGAACGCAGGUGAGAGCUUCGGCGCAUCAUCGACCGAUCCUGAUGUUCUCGGAUGGAUUUGAGUAAGAGCAUACGGGGCCGGACCCGAAAGAAGGUGAACUAUGCCUGUAUAGGGUGAAGCCAGAGGAAACUCUGGUGGAGGCUCGCAGCGGUUCUGACGUGCAAAUCGAUCGUCAAAUAUGGGCAUGGGGGGCGAAAGACUAAUCGAACCUUCUAGUAGCUGGUUUCCGCCGAAG